UACAGAGGUCUCGAGCGUUGUUCGGAUUCAUUGGGCGUAAAGGGCGCGUAGGCGGCGGGGUAAGUCGGGUGUGAAAUCUCGGAGCUUAACUCCGAAACUGCAUUCGAUACUGCCGUGCUUGAGGACUGGAGAGGAGACUGGAAUUUACGGUGUAGCGGUGAAAUGCGUAGAUAUCGUAAGGAAGACCAGUGGCGAAGGCGGGUCUCUGGACAGUUCCUGACGCUGAGGCACGAAGGUCAGGGGAGCAAACGGG
rnacentral:rRNA from 1 species